UAGGAAUCUACCAUUGAGGCCCUUUUGAAGAUUCUGUCUUAUGUGUAGAUGAGAGUGGCCACCACAAGAAGAGGCCUUUUUCUGUUGCAUCACCAGAACUCUAGAAUGUCUUCUGCUGGAAAUCCUAGAAGGCUUCUUCUUGUCUAUAUUUCUGCUACCAAGUAUGGUGUGCAGUCUUCUUCCAUUCAGUAGAAAAUCUGUUGAGGAUGUUGCUGAUUUGCUAUCUUAUAACUAUGUUGUUGUUGUUCAUUUACCUUUUCAUAUUGUUUGGUUUUUACAUUUCUACAGAGUUUUGAAUGCUAAAGAGAUACAGUUUUAAAAACUUACUUUUUUUAAGAAUCUGGAAAAAUAAAACUGACAAUUCCU